rnacentral:tRNA from 1 species
GGGGUGGUGGCGCAGUUGGCUAGCGCGCUGGGCUCAUAGCGUUAACGAAUUGUUAAACAAGUACACCCCUUGGUGAGGGUUCCAGAGGUCGAGAGUUUGAUCCUCUCCCACCCCA